UGAGGAAUAUUGGUCAAUGGGCGAGAGCCUGAACCAGCCAAGUCGCGUGAAGGAAGACUGCCUUAUGGGUUGUAAACUUCUUUUAUACAGGAAUAAAAAGGCUUACGUGUAGGCCAUUGCAAGUACUGUAUGAAUAAGCAUCGGCUAACUCCGUGCCAGCAGCCGCGGUAAUACGGAGGAUGCGAGCGUUAUCCGGAUUUAUUGGGUUUAAAGGGUGCGCAGGCGGGCUUUUAAGUCAGCGGUGAAAUCUGGACGCUUAACGUCCAAACUGCCGUUGAAACUGGGAGUCUUGAGUAUGGAUGAAGUAGGCGGAAUUCGUUGUGUAGCGGUGACAUGCAUAGAUAUAACGAGGAACUCCGAUUGCGUAGGCAGCUUACUAAGCCAUAACUGACGCUCAUGCACGAAAGCGUGGGGAUCAAACAGGAUUAGAUACCCUGGUAGUCCACGCCGUAAAACGAUGAUUACUAGUUGUAUGCGAUAUGAUAGUAUGUGACUAAGCGAAAAGCGAUAAGUAAUCCACCUGGGGAGUACGCCGGCAACGGUGAAACUCAAAGGAAUUGGCGGGGGUCAUAGCUGUUUCCU
rnacentral:rRNA from 1 species